rnacentral:rRNA from 1 species
AGGUCAAGAAGAGAAGGGCGCACGGUGAAUGCCUGGGCACUAGAAGCCGAUGAAGGACGUGACGAACCACGAAAGGCUACGGAGAGCUGUAAGUAAGCUAAGACCCGUAGAUAUCCGAAUGGGGGAACCCGGUGCAGCGAUGCAUCAUUAAAUACUGUUAAGGUAUUUAAAGGAAGACGCAGUGAACUGAAACAUCUAAGUAGCUGCAGGAAGAGAAAGAAAAAUCGAUUUCCUAAGUAGCGGCGAGCGAAAGGGAAAGAGCCCAAACCAUUGAAUUUAUUCAGUGGGGUUGUAGGACUACGAUGUGAGACAGAGAGGUAUAGUUGAAGUCUUUGGGAAAAGACGCCAGAGAGGGUGAGAGCCCCGUAAGCGAAAUAGCUCGAAGCUCUAGUAGUAUCCUGAGUAGGCCGGGACACGAGGAAUCCCGGUUGAAGCAGCGAGGACCAUCUCGCAAGGCUAAAUACUAACUAGUGACCGAUAGUGAACCAGUACCGUGAGGGAAAGGUGAAAAGAACCCCGGAAGGGGAGUGAAAGAGAACCUGAAACCGUGUGCCUACAAGUAGUCAAAGCACAUUAAAGUGUAAUGGCGUGCCUUUUGUAGAAUGAACCGGCGAGUUACGUUAAGUAGCGAGGUUAAGACAGAAAAGUCGGAGCCGAAGCGAAAGCGAGUCUGAAUAGGGCGAGCAGUUACUUGACGUAGACCCGAAACCAAGUGACCUACCCAUGUCCAGGUUGAAGGCUAGGUAAAACUGGCUGGAGGACCGAACCCACGUAAGUUAAAAAUUGCGGGGAUGAGGUGUGGGUAGCGGUGAAAUUCCAAACGAACUUGGAGAUAGCUGGUUCUCUCCGAAAUAGCUUUAGGGCUAGCCUCGCGAGAGAGGAUAAUGGAGGUAGAGCACUGUUUGGACUAGGGGCCCGUCAGGGGUUACUGAAUCCAGAUAAACUCCGAAUUCCAUAUAUCUAUACGCGGGAGUCAGACUGCGAGUGAUAAGAUCCGUAGUCGAAAGGGAAACAGCCCAGAUCACCAGUUAAGGUCCCCAAAUCUAUGCUAAGUGGAAAAGGAUGUGGAGUUGCGUAGACAACUAGGACGUUGGCUUAGAAGCAGCCAUCAUUCAAAGAGUGCGUAAUAGCUCACUAGUCGAGUGGCGCUGCGCCGAAAAUUUACCGGGGCUAAGCAUAGUACCGAAACUGUGGAUGUGCGUAAGCACGUGGUAGGAGAGCGUUCUAAUUGCGGCGAAGCCUAAUCGAGAGGAUAGGUGGAGCGAUUAGAAGUGAGAAUGCCGGUAUGAGUAGCGAAAGAUAGGUGAGAAUCCUAUCCGCCGAAAGACUAAGGUUUCCUGGGGCAGGCUCGUCCGCCCAGGGUAAGUCGGGACCUAAGGUAAGGCCGAGAGGCGUAGCCGAUGGACAACAGGUUGAGAUUCCUGUACUAAUAUUAAUCGUUAAGAGCAAUGGAGGGACGCAGUAGGCUAAUGGCGCAUGUAACUGGAAUCAUGUGUAAGCGUCAAGGCUUGAAGUGAGUCAAAUGCUUGCUUCUAAAAGGCUGAGGCGUGAUGCGGAGCGAAAUAAAGUAGCGAAGGUCAUGAUGUCACACUGCCGAGAAAAGCUUCUAGCCAGAGAGAUAUUACCCGUACCGCAAACCGACACAGGUAGUCGAGGAGAGAAUCCUCAGGUGAGCGAGAGAACUCUCGUUAAGGAACUCGGCAAAAUGACCCCGUAACUUCGGGAGAAGGGGUGCUGAUCUCCGGAUCAGCCGCAGUGAAUAGGCCCAAACAACUGUUUAUCAAAAACACAGGUAUCUGCAAAAUCGUAAGAUGACGUAUAGGUGCUGACACCUGCCCGGUGCUGGAAGGUUAAGAGGAGAGCUUAGCGCAAGCGAAGGUUUGAAUUGAAGCCCCAGUAAACGGCGGCCGUAACUAUAACGGUCCUAAGGUAGCGAAAUUCCUUGUCGGGUAAGUUCCGACCUGCACGAAAGGUGUAAUGAUUUGGGCACUGUCUCAACGAGAGACUCGGUGAAAUUAUAAUACCCGUGAAGAUGCGGGUUACCCGCGACAGGACGGAAAGACCCCAUGGAGCUUUACUGUAGCUUGAUAUUGAGUAUCUGUUAAACAUGUACAGGAUAGGUAGGAGCCAGAGAAAGUAGGACGCUAGUCUUACUGGAGGCGCUGUUGGGAUACUACCCUUGUUUGAUGGAUGCUCUAACCUAGGCCGCUAAGCGUGGUCAGGGACAGUGUCAGGUGGGCAGUUUGACUGGGGCGGUCGCCUCCUAAAGUGUAACGGAGGCGCCCAAAGGUUCCCUCAGAAUGGUUGGAAAUCAUUCGCAGAGUGUAAAGG